CCUACGGGAGGCAGCAGUGAGGAAUAUUGGUCAAUGGCCGGAAGGCUGAACCAGCCAAGUCGCGUGAGGGAAGACGGCCCUACGGGUUGUAAACCUCUUUUGUCAGGGAGCAAGGUGCAGGUCGGGACCUGCUGUGAGAGUACCUGAAGAAAAAGCAUCGGCUAACUCCGUGCCAGCAGCCGCGGUAAUACGGAGGAUGCGAGCGUUAUCCGGAUUUAUUGGGUUUAAAGGGUGCGCAGGCGGAGGCACAAGUCAGCGGUAAAAUCGCGGGGCUCAACCCCGCCCCGCCGUUGAAACUGUGUGCCUUGAGUGCGCGAAGGGUAGGCGGAAUGCGUGGUGUAGCGGUGAAAUGCAUAGAUAUCACGCAGAACUCCGAUCGCGAAGGCAGCCUACCGGCGCGCAACAGACGCUGAUGCACGAAAGCGUGGGUAUCGAACAGGAUUAGAUACCCGUGUAGUC
rnacentral:rRNA from 1 species